UACGUAGGGGGCAGGCGUUGUCCGGAAUCAUUGGGCGUAAAGCGCGCGUAGGCGGACCUGCAAGUCGGGGGUGAAAGCCCGAGGCUCAACCUCGGAACUGCCUUCGAUACUGCGGGUCUCGAGUCCGGGAGAGGUGAGUGGAAUUCCUAGUGUAGAGGUGAAAUUCGUAGAUAUUAGGAAGAACACCAGUGGCGAAGGCGGCUCACUGGCCCGGUACUGACGCUGAGGCGCGAAAGCGUGGGGAGCAAACAGG
rnacentral:rRNA from 1 species